rnacentral:rRNA from 1 species
CCAGAGAACUUUCCAGAGAUGGAUUGGUGCCUUCGGGAACUCUGAGACAGGUGCUGCAUGGCUGUCGUCAGCUCGUGUUGUGAAAUGUUGGGUUAAGUCCCGCAACGAGCGCAACCCUUAUCCUUUGUGCCAGCGGUUAGGCCGGGAACUCAAAGGAGACUGCCAGUGAUAAACUGGAGGAAGGUGGGGAUGACGUCAAGUCAUCAUGGCCCUUACGAGUAGGGCUACACACGUGCUACAAUGGCGCAUACAAAGAGAAGCGACCUCGCGAGAGCAAGCGGACCUCAUAAAGUGCGUCGUAGUCCGGAUUGGAGUCUGCAACUCGACUCCAUGAAGUCGGAAUCGCUAGUAAUCGUGGAUCAGAAUGCCACGGUGAAUACGUUCCCGGGCCUUGUACACACCGCCCGUCACACCAUGGGAGUGGGUUGCAAAAGAAGUAGGUAGCUUAACCUUCGGGAGGGCGCUUACCACUUUGUGAUUCAUGACUGGGGUGAAGUCGUAACAAGGUAAGCGUAGUGCU